rnacentral:rRNA from 1 species
AGAGUUUGAUCCUGGCUCAGAUUGAACGCUGGCGGCAGGCCUAACACAUGCAAGUCGAGCGGAUGAGAGGAGCUUGCUCCUCGAUUCAGCGGCGGACGGGUGAGUAAUGCCUAGGAAUCUGCCUAGUAGUGGGGGACAACGUUUCGAAAGGAACGCUAAUACCGCAUACGUCCUACGGGAGAAAGUGGGGGAUCUUCGGACCUCACGCUAUUAGAUGAGCCUAGGUCGGAUUAGCUAGUUGGUAGGGUAAAGGCCUACCAAGGCGACGAUCCGUAACUGGUCUGAGAGGAUGAUCAGUCACACUGGAACUGAGACACGGUCCAGACUCCUACGGGAGGCAGCAGUGGGGAAUAUUGGACAAUGGGCGAAAGCCUGAUCCAGCCAUGCCGCGUGUGUGAAGAAGGCCUUCGGGUCGUAAAGCACUUUAAGUUGGGAGGAAGGGCUUACAGCGAAUACCUGUGAGUUUUGACGUUACCGACAGAAUAAGCACCGGCUAACUUCGUG